UUUGGAAGAAAAAAUCGUAACAAGGUUUCCGUAGGUGAACUUGCGGAAGGAUCAUUG
rnacentral:rRNA from 1 species